GUAUAGUGUGCUGAUUUCUGGUUAGUGUUGUUUCAAUUAAUCUGGACUAGGUCUGAUGGUGAGGUGUAGUCAUUUGGUGAGAGUUUAGGUGUAGACUUUCGGUCAUGUAGGAGCUUGGGUACUUCAUCUGGUCUAUCUGGCCCGGUAAAGUGCCUGCUUGAGGGGGGCGUCUCUAUGUGGUUGCGUAGCACUAUCCCGGGAGGUCGGGCUCCUAUGUCAGUUGUACCCCAUGACCCCGGGGCAUUGGGGGGGGGAGA